UAAAUACGAGAUGCUACGGCAUUGAAGCAGUGUAUGUCAGACUUCCAAGAAAAGCUCGCAAUGUCAUAAACAAUAAAUGCCUGUACCAUAACCGACACAGGUGGGUAGGUAGAGUAUACUAAGGGGCGCGAGAUAACUCUCUCUAAGGAACUCGGCAAAAUGACUCCGUAACUUCGGGAGAAGGAGUGCCUUAUUUUAUAAGGUUGCAAUAACAAGAUCCAAGCAACUGUUUACCAAAAACACAGGUCUCCGCUAAGUCGAAAGACGAUGUAUGGGGGCUGACGCCUGCCCAGUGCCAGAAGGUUAAAGAAGUUGGUUAGCUUCGGCGAAGCUGAUGACUGAAGCCCUGGUGAACGGCGGCCGUAACUAUAACGGUCCUAAGGUAGCGAAAUUCCUUGUCGGGUAAGUCCCGACCCGCACGAAAGGCGUAAUGAUUUGGAUACUGUCUCGGAGAGGGGCUCGGUGAAAUAGACUUGUCUGUGAAGAUGCGGACUACCUGCACCUGGACAGAAAGACCCUAUGAAGCUUUACUGUAACUUGAGAUUGAAAUUGGACUUUAUUUGCGCAGUAUAGGUGGGAGACGUUGAGAAUAUUCUUGCGGGAAUAUUGGAGUCAUCAGUGAGAUACCACUCUUGUAAUGUUAGAUUUCUAACUUUGUAUCAUUAUCUGGUCAAAGGACAGUUUUAGGCGGGCAGUUUGACUGGGGCGGUCGCCUCCUAAACGGUAACGGAGGCGCACAAAGGUUUCCUCUGAACGUGUAGAAAUCGUAUCUAGAGUGUAAAGGCAUAAGGAAGCUUGACUGUGAGACCUACAAGUCGAGCAGGGACGAAAGUCGGUCUUAGUGAUCUGACGGUGCUGAGUGGAAAGGCCGUCACUCAACGGAUAAAAGUUACUCUAGGAUAACAGGCUGAUCUCCCCCAAGAGUUCACAUCGACGGGGAGGUUUGGCACCUCGAUGUCGGCUCAUCGCAUCCUGGGGCGGUAGUACGUCCCAAGGGUUGGGCUGUUCGCCCAUGAAAGCGGUACGCGAGCUGGGUUCAGAACAUCGUGAGACAGUUCGGUCCAUAUCCGGUGUAGGCGUUAGAAUAUUGAGAGGAGCCUUCUUUAGUACGAGAGGACCGAGAAGGACAUACCUCUGGUGUACCAGUUAUCGUGCCAACGGUAAACGCUGGGUAGCUAUGUAUGGAGUGGAUAACCGCUGAAAGCAUCUAAGUGGGAAGCCCACCUCAAGAUAAGUAUUCUCAC
rnacentral:rRNA from 1 species